rnacentral:lncRNA from 1 species
AAUAAAGAUGGGGUUCCUGUUGAGAAAUGAUUCCUAGAGUAAAACCUGCAUAUGAAAGAGUGAAGACUGUGAUAAGAAGAAGAACAACAAGCAAGGAGAAGAGGAAGAAGAAUCAGACGCCGUGAAGGAAGGAAGAAAGAAAAAGAAUAGUCAAGGUCAAAGUCAACAAGGAAGUUAGUUAUGUAACUAGUAGUUAAAGAGUGAGUAGUUAAGUUAAGAGUUAAUUGGUUAGUAAGCUAAACUAAGUUCAGAGUUGGUAAAAUAG